AUCACUUCUCGGCCUUUUGGUUAAGAUCAAGCAUAGUAUCUGUUCUUGUCAGUUUAAUAUUGACAUGUCCUCUAUAAAUGAAAACAAUAUGUAAAUGGAAUUGGGGGGGGUCUAGGAAAUGGAAUGGGAGCUUGCUCCGUAUAUUUCAUGUAUUGAUUUGGUAUUGUAGUACAAAAUAGUAAUAGUGCAUACCCU